GGGCGGGAGGGGGGUGGGCGGGUCAGGCGCGCGCGGGCGGCCUCGCGGUUCUCAGGCCUCAGUGCGGCGCGGAAAGCAAGCGGGCGGGCGGAAAACGCGGAGCAACCUCUUCCCCCUCACCCCGCUCCAUCUCUUUUCCUUCCCAGGCCGCAGGUGUCAUUGGUGGGGCGUCCGGGGUUCUCCCACAUCCACCUCCGCGCUGGGCACCUGGUGAUGCUUAUAUCGCGUUUGGUGAAACACAUCCUCCAGCCAUGUUAUGCUUGCAAAGAUGUCUCGGGUCAUUGGGACGGACCGCAGCUUGGAAAGAAUCCACAAGACAGCCACAGGAUGGGAUAUUUUUGCAGUGCCUGAACUGCUGUUUAGAAGGCAUUUGUUAUAAUGUGGGGAAACAUUUAUGUAUUUACAUCCACCAGAAAAACACACUUCAUAAAACUGCCAGUUGUGCUGGCUCACACGUGUAAUCCCAGCACUUUGGGAGGCCAACGCAGG